UUUUCCAUUUCGUUAUUAUAAGGUAUUAUAUAAUGAUUUCAAUAUUUCAUUUUUUUCGACAAUAGUUUUUAUUAGUUUUCAAAAAUAUAUAUCACUGUUUUUUUUCCGUUUCUCUAUUUCUUCUGUUGGGUUCUUCAAAUGGUUUUCUCGUUUUUCAUUUCUUCAUUUUGUUAUAGUCGGAUGUUUAUUUGUCUGUUUUGUUUAUUUCUUAUAAUCGGAUAUUUGAUUAUUUGUUUUUUUUCUUUAUUUGUUUAUAAUCGUAAUUUUGUUAAAUUCUCUAUUUUGUUCAUUAUAAUUUUCUUAAAGAAUAUCUACAUCAAGUUCUGAUCAUGCGCCCAAGAUCACUGAACCGGUAGUAUUAUUUAAGCCUGAUAAUUCGUGUUGACACGACACGAACACGACCUGUGUCAAAAAAAUUUAACACCGACAUGACAAGAAAUUCGUGUCAACAACACAAUACAAACUUAACUUGCAGUUUAAUUAAAAUAAUUAAUUUGGAAACAUGGAGGAUUAAAUCCACGACUUCUCGUAUGUUGAGGAAAUGUUUACCAUCUAUGUUACAUUUCUAAAUAUGAUA
rnacentral:lncRNA from 1 species